GUAGCUUGACAUUGGGUCUUGGUACUACAUGUACAGGAUAGGUGGGAGGCUUUGAAACCAGGACGCCAGUUUUGGCGGAGCCAUCCUUGGGAUACCCCCCUUGUAGUACUGGGACUCUAACCAUAGGCCAUGAAUCUGGUCUUGGGACACUGUCAGGUGGGCAGUUUGACUGGGGCGGUCGCCUCCCAAAAGGUAACGGAGGCGCUCAA
rnacentral:rRNA from 1 species